GACGAACGCUGGCGGCGUGCUUAACACAUGCAAGUCGAACGGAAAGGCCUGCUUUCCCUUGUGGAUUGCGGGUCCUCGGGUGGCGAACGGGUGAGUAACACGUGAGUGAUCUGCCCCCAACUUGGGUCUAAGCCUGGGAAACUGGGUCUAAUUCCCGAUAGGACUGCAGGGUGGUGCCUGUGGUGGCAAACGAUUUUCUAGUGGUUGGGGAUGAGCUCGCGGCCUAUCAGCUUGGUGGUGGGGUAAUUGCCUACCAAGGCGGCGACGGGGAGCCGGCCUGAGGGGGUGGACGGCCACAUUGGGACUGGGAUACGGCCCCGAAUGGUAGGGGGGGGAGGAGAGGGGAAGAAUGUGGGAUGGGCCGGAGCCUGAUGCAGCGACGCCGCGUGGGAGAUGCCGGCCUUGGGGUUGUAAACUUCUUGGGACAGAGAGGAAGCCACCUGGUUGGAAGGGUGGUGACGGUAGUGGUAGAAGAAGCACCGGCUAACUACGUG
rnacentral:rRNA from 1 species